rnacentral:rRNA from 1 species
UACGUAGGGUGCAAGCGUUGUCCGGAAUUAUUGGGCGUAAAGAGCUCGUAGGCGGUUUGUUGCGUCGGCUGUGAAAACCUGCAGCUUAACUGUGGGCGUGCGGUCGAUACGGGCAUCACUGGAGUUCGGCAGGGGAGACUGGAAUUCCUGGUGUAGCGGUGAAAUGCGCAGAUAUCAGGAGGAACACCGGUGGCGAAGGCGGGUCUCUGGGCCGAUACUGACGCUGAGGAGCGAAAGCGUGGGGAGCAAACAGG